UGGGUCAAUCUAUGGGGCUGACAUCCCUCUAUGGGUCAAUCUAUGGGUCUGAUCUCCAUCUAUGGGUCAAUCUAUGGGUCCCUCUAUGGGUCAAUCUAUGGGUCUGAUCUCCAUCUAUGGGUCAAUCUAUGGGCCUGAUCUCCAUCUCUGGGUCAAUCUAUGGGUCCGAGGCCCCCUUAUGGGUCCCUCUAUGGGUCGAUCUAUGGGGCUGAGGUCCAUCUAUGGGUCACCCUAUGGGUCCAUCUAUGGGUCCAUCUAUGGGUCCAUCUAUGGGUCCGAUGUCCAUCUAUGGGUCCCUCUAUGGGUCAAUCUAUGGGUCCAUCUAUGGGUCUGAUUUCCAUCUAUGCGUCAAUCUAUGGGUCCGAGGCCCCCUUAUGGGUCAAUCUAUGGGUCUGAUCUCCAUCUAUGGGUCAAUCUAUGGGUCUGUGGCCCCCCUACGGGUCCCUCUAUGGGUCAAUCUAUGGGUCUGAUCUCCAUCUAUGGAUCCC
rnacentral:lncRNA from 1 species